rnacentral:lncRNA from 1 species
GAUUGCCCAUUCAAAUUCAAACUUUAUUUUGAAUUUGAAUGGCCAACCAAUCAUCCUUAUCCAUUCAUUUGGCACAUUAAAGUGGGGCAUGGAGAGGGCUUGGCAUGAGAAAAUAAUUCAUAAGAAGUUCCUUCUCAUGAAUUCAAAUGGGUGCAAUGGAAGUGAGGUGGCACAUGGAGAUUGGGUCAAGGUGGUUUCAUUAUUUAAACCAACCUAAUUGAACCAAAUAAGUUAAGUCCAAUUAGACU